rnacentral:rRNA from 1 species
AACGCGAAGAACCUUACCUGGGUUUGACAUGCACAGGACGCCGGUAGAGAUAUCGGUUCCCUUGUGGUCUGUGUGCAGGUGGUGCAUGGCUGUCGUCAGCUCGUGUCGUGAGAUGUUGGGUUAAGUCCCGCAACGAGCGCAACCCUUGUCUCAUGUUGCCAGCGCGUUAUGGCGGGGACUCGUGAGAGACUGCCGGGGUCAACUCGGAGGAAGGUGGGGAUGACGUCAAGUCAUCAUGCCCCUUAUGUCCAGGGCUUCACACAUGCUACAAUGGCCGGUACAAAGGGCUGCGAUGCCGUGAGGCUUAGCGAAUCCUUUAAAGCCGGUCUCAGUUCGGAUCGGGGUCUGCAACUCGCCUGCAUGAAGUCGGAAUCGCUAGUAAAUGCCGAUCAGCACGCGGCAUUGAAUACGUUCCCGGGCCUUGUACACACCGCGCAUA